GUGGUGUUUGGAUUGUCUCUGCCGGCUGGCUCCGUGCUCGUCCACCGAACGGUCGGCAGGCAAUCCGCGUCGGUAGCGCGAGGUGGGAUGGUGCCCCAGAGAGGCUGGUUCUUGUGUUGCCUACCCCUUCAAGGGAAGCAGGCCACUUGACGGUUAAGCCUCCGUCCGGCGCCCUCCAACGGGCGCAGGAGGACAACGAAGCACCCCCCGUGUUCCACCGAGCCUUCGUCGGUCGCGUGGCCCACGGGGCCGUGCUGUGCUCUCGGACCCAGCGCACGCCGUGGACGAGGACUCACGUCCCAGUCUUAAGAGAAGCUUCGAUAUAAUGUAUGACGGCCGCUCUCGCCCCUCGACCGCCACGGCGGUGCGAGGGCGACGCGCGACGUCGUGGAGGAAUGCUACCUGGUUGAUCCUGCCAGUAGUCAUAUGCUUGUCU
rnacentral:misc_RNA from 1 species